rnacentral:lncRNA from 1 species
CCAUCUGGCUGCUUGUCCACUUGAGCACAGGCUAUAAGGGUCAGUGAGACCCCUCGGAGUGCUAUUGAUACCAGACUCUGACAGGAAGCACUUUAUCUGGUCCCCACAGGAUAGAGACAAAUGUACUCAGAGCUCUCUCACACCUGGAAGAAAGUUUUGGACAGAGGGAACCUGCUUAUUACUUUCCAAGACACAAACUAAAGCACAAGUUUCUUGCACGUGUAGAUCUAGUUGCUCAAGAAGAAUGACCAAGACUGAAAUGAUGGAUGCACAGUGAAACUCCUACGUCCAGAUAAAGAGAAAUGAGAGUGCACUAUGUAAAAGAGGUAGGUGAAAUACCAAAACAAAAAGCUUUGGAAAAAAAAAAAAAGUAAUGUUUUCCUAUGAGCUCAUGAGCUCUGUGAAAAUAAAGGAGUGAAAAUAAUUGUAAUCUAGAAAUAA